GCGUGCAGUAUGGAGACUACUGGAUCUGGCAAAGUCCAGCAGAAAGGGUUUCUACAGGCCUUCUACUCCAACCUUGGCCCCAUUUUACAGAUGCGGAAACAAAGGCCCAGAGGAGGGGAAGGACACUCGCUCAGGGGCACAAGGGCAGAAAGUGGCCGGCCGACUUGGAACUGGAACCCCACAGCCAGGGCUCCCCUCUCUGCAUCACCUGAACGCUGAAGGGAGAGGCAGCUAUGUGGGGACAGACGACGGGAAGCUGCCAGAGACGUUGGUGGUGGGCAACCGCGGGUGAGAUGGUGCCACUGAGGUUUCUGGUCCUUUCUAAUCUCUGCUCCCUUUGCAGGGUUUCCUUUCUCUGAAACUGAAGCUUCCUCCCCUCCUGAAACCAGCGGGAAACCAACCUCUACCCUCUUUGCCAGAGCCUUGGUUUUGGGCGAUUUGCAGGAAUCCUGCGAAAGUGACCCAUCCAGCCAGUGUCCGCGGCAGGGCAGGGACUCUCCGCCUCCCGUUCACCACCCACCACAUCCGGGUGUCAUUGGCUUCCUGCCAAGGCGGCUGGGCCCUUCGGGGACCCUUGGCAUCCCCAAGCCUGUCCUCUGCGCCGCCUUCCCUCUGGAUCUCCUACCCUGAUCCUCCACCCUGGGAGAAGGCAGGCACACAGACAGUUUCCCACCAGGGAGGAAUAAGUUCUCCCCAGAUGCCUGACCAGAUAACACGCCCUUUGCCCAUUGCUGCCGUUGUCCAGCUGGCAGGAACAGAGGGGAAGUGCCAGUCUCAUGAUAAAAUAUAAAUUCCAGUUCCUGGAUAUAGAAGCAGAAGCAGGCUGGGCAAGGAGGGCACUACUUUCUCACUAUUGGGGAUCUGGCCCUGGCGCCUCUCUCAUUUUCCCGCUGAAGUGGUCUAAUUUGGCACUCAAACGUGGAUGUUUGUGCACUCAUGUACAUGUCUUUUAUAUUUAACAAAUAUAAUCGAGCUUUCUUUGUACCAAGCACUGUGCCAGGCUUAGGAUGAGACACCAUCAUUGCCCUAAGGACACACAGUCUAGUUUGGGGGGCAAAGAAGGAAGACAGAUAUAGAAACGGACGUUAUAAGCUAGUAUUUCCUGUGUGUAGUGUGUCCAGAGGUGCACACCCAGGAUUUGGUGGGUUGUGGAGAAAGUGCCCUGUUCUGCCUGGGGUGGGAUGGGGAUCAUGGAGGCUUCUGGGGAGAAGGGACACAGGGGCUGGGUGAGUCAUCUAACAGACAGAUGUGUGCUGGAGUGGGGACGCAUUCAAGAGACUGGAUUUCAGAUGGGGGGAAAUCCGUAGGAGGAAAGUCACAAGGACCAGCACCAGCUGGGUGAGUGGGACACACACGCUGGUUCUAGCCUGAGCCUUAGACUUGGGGAAGAGAGAGACCUGUGGCUCUGUGAAUGCCUGGAAGCCCCCAGGAGGGGUUUAUGCUGGGGAAUGUCUUAUCAAAUUUGAUUCGUGGUGCCCACACCAGCGGCUAGACACCUCCCCUCUGGCCCCUGGGUACUCCUAAGGGCCACGGCUGAGUUGGUUUAUUGCCAUGGCCUGAGACUCUGUCUGGCGCAUUGUAGGAGCUGAAUGGAUGGGUCUGAGGAGACAGAUUCAGAGGAACCAGUGCCCACUACUUCCGUGCUUAUGUUCUCCCACCUCUUCACCCUUGGGUGAGGCUUCUCUGAUCUGCUCUUAAAUGAACUUCCAGAAAGGGCAUGUCUGGGGGUUGGCAUGGCUGCCUGCGGAUGGGUUGGAUGGAGAAGAUGAAGGCAAGGAAAUGAGAUAGUAUGGUCAUUCACUCAUCACCUUUAAGCAAGCCCUAAAACGUGCAAAGCACCAACAUGAGUACCAGCCGUGUGUGUGUGUGUGUGUGUGUGUGUGUGUGUGUGUGUGUGUUGGGUUACAGCAGACAGAAAAGAGAGCUAGGGAUAACACAAAGGAAAAUAAGAUAGAGCUUGUUUACUCAGAGAGUAAACAGAUGUCUUUUUGAGUAUAUACUAUGCUAGCUACCGAGGGUACAAAAGCCAACAACCAAGACCUCACUCAAAUAACUAUCUUAUAGCAUGAAAGCUGGUCACUGCCAAAGACAGCCCCCAAACACGGCCAUCUAGAGGAAGGAGUGAGUGCUUCUCAUUGUGGAGAGCAGGGAAGGCUUCUGGAAGAGGUGUCUUUUGCCUUAGGCCCUGAAGGGUGGAUCACAUUUGGACCAAAGGAGAUCCAGGAGAGAAUUUUGGUGGAGGGAGCAGCUUGUACAAGAACGUGAAGGUGGGAGAGGUUGGGGCUCCUGUGUGGGAAUAGUGAGCAGUGCAGGGUUGUUUUGUUUUGUUUCGUUUUGCAUUCUGGGGUUGUGUAAGAGAAAGGGACAGGAAAAUGCAGCCAGAAUGCAAAAGGUCUGAAAGAUGCCCUUCAGGGACAUGAGGAAGCAGGACUAAGUGUCAGGAGACUAGGCUCUGGUCCCUUCUCUUAAGCAGGAAGCCUGGGACUCAUUGUUGCUGCUUUUUCAACCACCAUAUUCUAAUCCAAAAGCAAACACUGUUCAUUCUGCUUCCAAUAUGAAGUCUAGUGAUUGCUCCGUUUCUGCUAUUAGCCUGCUAUCCACAUGCUCAUAAUUUCUGCCCAAUCGCUGUGACACCCCCACCCCCGCUGCCCCGGCCUGUAGAGCCAGUACACACUGAAGGGAAGGAGUGAAAUGUGAUGGUCGAGCACUUGGGACUCUGGAGCUAGACUGCCUGAAUCCUUAAACCGUCCCCCUCUGCUGCCUUGUAGCUGUGUGUCCUUGGUCAAGUCACUUAACCUCUCUGUGCUCAAGGUCCUCAUCUGUAAAAUGAAGGGGAAGAGUAGCCCCUACUUUGUGGGGUUGUGAGGAGUCAAUGAGUUGAACAACUGGAAGCACUUUGGAGCAUGUCUGGUGUAUACGCAGAACUGUGUAAGUGUUAGUCAUCUCUCUAACCAUAACCUCUCUCCCCACAUCCAGUUUUGCUCUUCUCUGCCGUGGUGCCAUCUGAAUCUUUACAGCCUUUGUUUUGAGUUGACUCUCCAUCAACACGGAGGUUGGGGUACCAGCUUCCCACAUGGUUGAACAUCUGAAUCCAGAUUUAACUACUGAUAGCCUAACAACUGAUGGCCUACUGUUGACUAGAAGCCUUAUGGAUAACGUAAGCAGUCGGUUAACACAUUUUGUAUGUUCUACGUAUCAUAUGCUGGAUUCUUAUGAUCAGUUAGGGAAGAGAAGAUGUUAUUAAGAAAAUCAUAAGGAAAAGGAGCUACAUUUACAGAACCGGACUGUAUUUAUUGAAAAAAAAAUCCAUGUGUAAGUGGACCAGUGUAGUUCAAACCCAUGAUUUUCACGGGUCGACUGUAGUUGCAUGAUUUCAGAACUCUGUGAUUUAUUUUUUCUGCAGGCUGCAGUGAGCCAUGGAGGGUCUCUGAACAGAGAAGCACUUACUGGGGGCUGCUGGAGCUGUGCUCUCUGGAGAUGAAUCUGGCAAUAUUGCGGACUGAAGCCUCGGGGCCCUGUAUGGGCGUUGCUGGCCGUGGGGUUCUUGCCCUGGUGCGGAGAGGGGCCUGCAGGAACUCCGCCUUCCCUCCUGGCUCCGAGGCUUGUUGACGGUAGGAAUGAUAGCCCACUCAAAGGACAAGCAGGUGGACUCACCUUUGUCACCUCUCCCCUGGCUGGGGGCUGUGACCAGACAGAGAUCGGGCCUGAGGAAGGUGUCACCCACAAGAAAGCAUCCCAAAGCCCUCCCUCAGCUUCCACGGGCUCUUUCAGAGAGGCAGCUGUUGGGUUUGGACAAGACCCAAAGUCAAUACAAUAAUGACUUCCCUUCCCGGCCAUAUUCCAGGCCCCUCUGUGUCAUUUAGUAAUUGGCUAAUAAAGCAUACUUUGAUGUGAGGGGGAGCCCUAUUAAGAAGUCCCCAAGAUCCCCCCAUACCCGGAAAUCUGCUGAUAGAAGAUAAACUCGAACAUAUAUUAAAAUGGUAUGCCGAAAGGGGGGUCACCCUUUCCUCUGAGCCUGGUCCCCAGCCGAGGGUCAAUGGAGGCCGAGGGCAAGGGGAGAGGAGAGGAAGAGGAACUCUCUAGAGAAAGUAUGGCCAAGCCCUAG